UAUGUUUUAACUAUUGAUAUUUAAUUAGUAAAACAAUAUGUGGAAUAAAACGUUUUUCUGGAUUACUUAUUGUGGAGUUGUUGUUUAAACUUUAUUAGUCAUAUGUUUGGUAUUGAGUAGUAUAUUAAUCUGGGUUUGGUUUCUAGUGAACAAACCCAUAUGACAAUAUAGCUAAACCAAAGUGAUUAAUAAAAUCUCGAUUUUUAAGAGAUCGAAUGAUAUAUAUAUGGAAAUGGAUUUAGUGAGUCGACGCCCCAAAUUAAGUUUGGGAGAGGUCUGCCACAUAUAAAUCAUUUGCCAUAGGAAAUAAAAUGUUUGUUGAUAUUGGUCAUAAACAUUUAUAUUUCAUCAAUGCUUAAAUGCAAGUUACAAGAAGAUUGACCAUGCAAAAACAAUGAUAAUUUUCAGACCAAUAUGAUUGAAACUGACAUGUGUAUUGUAGUUUAUAAAGUCAAUAUGGUUGAAAAUAAUCAUAUAUAAUGGUGGUUUUGAUGACACAAAUAAUAUCUUGUGUAUAUUUGUUAAAAAAGCAAAAUAUGUGUUUGGAAAAGAUCCAAAACAUACAAGUUAGAUUUAUAAAUCAACUUGAGAGAACUAUGAAAAUAGUUGUAUGUAAAAUGUGAAUUUCUAAGAAUGAAACACAUUUUUUCAAGAAAAUUGUAAUAAUUUUUGAAAUUGCUUUUAAUUCAUUUAAAUCUAAAGGAGUUGUAGAUUAAUUUUCUAAACUCUUAAGAGAUGUUAAAUGUAAUUAUGCAUGUUUUGAGCUAUCUCAAAAAAUGUGGGGGAAGCUUUGCUUACCAUAUAAAGUCGUUGGCAAGAGGUCAUAUGAACUUAGUGAUAGUUAUCACAAUAUAAUUUUUUUUAUUAAAAAAAAAAACAAGCUAGUGUCAUACACUGAGUUUUGUGUAUAAUGGUUAAUUGUAUCUUGAAUAAAAGAUGACAAAAAUCAUUAGACAAUUGAUCUCCACUAAUCUCAAGAGAUUAUGUUCACUAUGGUGACAACCUAGGAUCCUUUAAUUAAAGGUGUGUCAUGAGAUCAAAUUGUUAUAUCAUCAAAAGGAAUGGGUCGCCUGUGAAUUAAGAUGAGGUUUCGCGGUAACUCUACCUAACUGACUGGAGAUCCCAAGAAAUAGGUUCAAGGAGACAACUAAGUGAAACUAAGUCUGUCCAAAGCACUGUAAGACUUCGGUCUAUACCCAGUUCCUAUGAUGAUUAAACAGUGCUACAUGUAAAGAAUACAGGAUAAGCAUUAGCUUUUAAUGAUUUGUGUCCAUAGCUUUGAGAUAUGAAUGGAGUAGUACAUGAUACUCCUCUAAACAAAGUUAAUGGCAAAUCACCUUGUGAGUGUGAAAUGGGGCCGUUUCUAGGAGAAUGAAGGAAAGGCUAUAUUCUCCAAGUUCACUCAUGAUUAACCAAGACUGUUCACGGCCAAAAUGAACACAAUAGAGAACCUAGUUCUGUGAGAGAAUGAAGCUGUGUUAUGGCUAUUGUCUAGGUUUACACCAAAGCCCGGGAGGUUCAAGACAUCAUGGCCACCUCCUGGCCGAGUAAAUCCGAUAGCUAUUAACAAUGACUGGUUCAAGGCUGAAAAAUUGCUACCAACUCAUCAUGCAGUGGAUUUUUCGUUUGUACUCUCAAAAGUCCUUAGUUAGGUCUUGUCGAGUCUUGUCUAGGAAGUUGAGUCUUGUCUAGAAAGUCUGUCGAGUCGUCUAGUGUCUAGAGUCAUUUCUAUUCAUGUGGGGGAUUGUUGGAACUAUUUUUUGAACAUUAUGAAUAAUGUAUUCAUAUGUCAAAAAAAAGAAGUUUUAUUUGAAUGAGAAAUGGAGGUCUAAUGUGUGUGAUUUGAAAAACUUGUAUAAAGAAGCAAAUACACACAUUGGAUAUUUGAACUUGGAUUUGGGUUUUUUGAUUUGUUAGUUGGACUUCAUGUUCAUUGACUUAAUCUUAUAAACCAAAUAUAUGUUGAUCUUUUAUAUUGAUAAAAUAUAAAAAAGAAAUCCAUUUUAAAGUAUAUUAUUUUGUUUGAAUUGAUCAAAACAAUAAUAAUUUUAUUCUUUAAUUUCUUGGUCAAAAUGUGGAAUAAAUUCACAUAAUAAUGACAAGAAUUAAAAACUCCAUUAGUGCACUAUGGAGGUUUCAUUUUUGUGUUGAAAAAUGAAACUUGUGCUUCUCAUUAUAUUUCUAUAUAAAGGCUUGUGAGCCAUUUAGAAAAUACACACAUUCAUACAAUCAAGAACAUUUCUCCCACUCAGAAUAGUUAUGCUAGUAUUUUUUAUUCUUUUGAGUCUGAGAGUACAUCACAGAAAUAGGUUCGAUAGAUUCUGUUUUUCGGUGAUGGUAAACAGAAACAAUGCUGCAGUUGUAUCUUGGGAAUCUGAGCGCCAUAAAACCGUCACACUACGGGGCGUUUAAAGAUUUAAGGAAAGAGAUUAACUAUCUCGACUCUGCAAUUCUUCUUUAUUUUUAUAUUUUGGUAUUGAAAUUUUAGUUUAUGUUCUUAUUAUUCUUUACAAAUAUCAGUUGUCGUAUGGUAGUAAAAUAAGGUUCCUACAAUAACUCCUAUUAAGAAUACACAUCAACUGAUAGGAGAUAAUGAGCUAGAGUAACUCUCAUGUUUUGUUGGUUGUAUACUUAUAUAAUUAAAGAUAAACUGAAAGAGACAGUCUGGAUUGGCACGAGGGAUUUUGAAACUCAGUGAAGCUCAGAACGAUAAGUUAAAGAGUGAGCCUAAGAGUAGAUGAAGCAGACAUCGCAUUUGCUCACAAGGUUACCCCCCCCCCCCAAGCAGACAUCGCAUGGCUAGCUACAAAACAGCGAAAUGGUAAAGUUAAGGCGGUUCAUAAAGUAAUAGUACUUUCUCCGUUCCUAAAAAAUUUAUAUUCUAGAGAAAAUUUUUGUUUUAAAAAGAUACAUAUUUUAUAUUUUCAAUAUAAUUUUUUUCAACUAAUAAUGAAAAAUUGUGAAGUUCAAGAACAUUAAUUGCAUUUCUUAAAAUUUUAUUGGUUUAAAAAUAUAAAAAAUAUAAAAUUAUAAAAAACUAUGCAUUUAUAGGUAAGUUUUAAUAUGUUUUAUUAAGAAGUGUUAAAAUUCUAAAACAUGUUUAGUGUAUAUUAAAAUUACGUUAAAGAAUAUAUUUGACUGAUAUAUUCUAAAUAAUAAAAUAUAUUAUUCUAUAUUUUAUGACUAAAUAAUAUAGUAUGCAAACGUAUAUAGGAAAUAAAAGAAAAGAAAUUAAAGGAGAUAAAAAUAAUCGAUGGGGAAUAGUAUGGCGUAUAUGAAAAGUACGGUGUAUAUAUAAAAAUAUGAGAAAAAGAAAGAUUACAAAUAGAAAUAGAAGUAUGAAAACAAAUGAGAUGAUAAAGAAAAAAAAUACUAUUUUAUUAAUUGUGGCCAUAUAUAUAGUUACGUGGACGUAUAAGGAAAAAAGUGAGAGAGGGAGAGAGAGAGAGGGAGGAGAGAUGCAGAGAGUGAAUGGGAGGAGGGAGAGAGAGGGAGAGAGAGAGGGAGAGGGAGAGGGAGAAAAGGAGAGACAGAAUGUGUAGUUAAUACAAUAACAUUUUUUUAAUAUUACAUGUCAGAGAGAGAAAGAUAUAUAGAUAUACAAAGAGAGAAAGAUAGAGAAAAAAAAAGAAAUAUUGAUUCAGAGGAAAUGAUGAAGGGAUUUAGAGAUGGAGAUUGGGAAGAGAGAUAGAGUGAGAGAUAGAAGAAAGAGAGAUUGUAUAAUCUUAUACUAUAAAGAAGAGGGAUUCUCUUACGGGAAGGAGACACGUCAGAAAAUCGGUUAACCACGUUGCGACACCUGUCCCCUUGCUUUAAAUGUUGCGUUCCAUUUAUUUGAUCAUGGGUUUCUUUUCUAAUUUUGUUGGGCUGCCUCCACAUGAUCAGGCCCGUCUACCUCUACAAUCACUAAAUGUCGCGUUUUCAAUUAGUGCUUGGAGAGUCUCUCUCUCUGCCGUCUCCACCCUUCCUCCAUUGCCAAUCUUUCGUCUUCCUCCUUCCUUCGGUGGGAGAUGAAGCAGUAACCGAUACCCCUCAUAAAACCCUCCUUAAUCAAUUACACACGAUUUCCAUUCAAUGCGAUCCUGGAGAGUGCAAAGGCGGUGGAGGCUCUGCUAUAAAAAGGUGUGGUCUUACUCUCCGAUCUUCAGACUGGCUGCUCCUCCUCCUCUGUUCAAGUUCGCCUGCUCCGAUUUUGGGAGGCCAGAAACGUCCAGCGUGGGGGGAGAGCUAAUGAAAGUCGACAUGCUCCUUCUAAAUUCUCAGGCGACUAUGUUGCCGGCGAAGCUCACGAUGCUUCAUGUACACGAAGCUCACAGAGCAGUGGAAAUGGUUUGAUGGUAAAAUCUUAUAUCAGUUUAUGUACAGGGUCACUGUUUCCCAUUUAAGCGAAACAAUGCAUCAUCUCGCCCUGGAGAUCAUUGGUGUUGGGAAGAAGAAGCUUUAUGCAGCCAAGGUUGAACUUCAAGGAGUCGCAGGAGUUCAAGUCUGCCAAUGAUGUUUCCCCUACCAUUACUCCCUUCUAUCUUGGCUGCAAAUAAGGGCUGUGUUUGAUCCAAUGGAAGGAUUAUAACACUUUUACGCACUAGCUAUCUAUGGAAUGACCCGAGAGAGCAAAAUGAUGGAGCAUCAAGGAUCACAUCUGAUGUGGGGAUAAAAGGAGCUUAUUGCUAAGAACUCUGUUCGUCUUCCCACCUACUCAGUGACACGAAUCUAGGCCGCUGUUUCAUGCCUGAUCUUGGGUCAUUUGUGAGAUUCAACAUGUUGGUAACAGAGCUACUUUGAUAGAUCCAUCAUCACCCGAUUGUACGACGAACAACAGCAAUAUCGACAGAAGCCUGAAAACAGAGAACAACAAAAACUCAAAUCUUUGAAAAGAAAUAGAGACAAGACAGGAAGUCACAUCCUUAUUGGUGACCAUCCUCACAAUGAUUCUGAGAUAUGAAGUUUCAAGCUCAUAUCUGAUGAGAAUCAAUGGAAGUCUAAGAAACCAAGAACAAAUAAAGAAAGAGUUGGUUCAUUAAAGAUCAGUUUCCAACAUUCAACUUCUUUGUAUGAUAGUGUCGAGCCAUAUGAAGAGGCAAAUGCACAGAUGAAAGAUAUAAUAUACAAAACGGCUGCAUUUAGACCGGUGAAUAUUCCAUUGUUGAAGAUAAUGGAUCAGAUGAACUUUAUGAAGACCAUUAUAACUUUUUACGUUUCAUUUUCGGACCCAGUAGUUUAUUUGGAGUUGUUAGUGUGUGCUUUUUCUAAGUCUUAAACUUUGGUUUGAACCGUCUGUUUAAUUAACGCAAGUCAUUCUCAACGAA